GACGAACGCUGGCGGCGUGCUUAACACAUGCAAGUGGAGCGACGAACCAGGGCUUGCCCUGGGGCAGAGCCGCGAACGGGUGAGUAACACGUGGGUAACCUGCCCUGAUGAUUGGGACAACCCGAGGAAACUCAGGCUAAUACCAAAUGUGCUCAUCGGCCUCAAGGCCGAUGAGGAAAGGUAGCCUCGGCUUCCGCAUCAGGAUGGGCCCGCGGCCCAUUAGCUUGUUGGUGAGGUAACGGCUCACCAAGGCUUCGAUGGGUAGCUGGUCUGAGAGGACGAUCAGCCACACUGGGACUGAGACACGGCCCAGACUCCUACGGGAGGCUG
rnacentral:rRNA from 1 species